UAGGGAAUCUUCCGCAAUGGACGCAAGUCUGACGGAGCAACGCCGCGUGAGUGAAGAAGGAUUUCGGUUCGUAAAACUCUGUUGUUAGAGAAGAACAGCGCAUAGAGUAACUGUUAUGCGUGUGACGGUAUCUAACCAGAAAGCCACGGCUAACUACGUGCCAGCAGCCGCGGUAAUACGUAGGUGGCAAGCGUUAUCCGGAAUUAUUGGGCGUAAAGCGCGCGUAGGCGGUUUUUUAAGUCUGAAGUGAAAGCCCACGGCUCAACCGUGGAGGGUCAUUGGAAACUGGAAAACUUGAGUGCAGAAGAGGAAAGUGGAAUUCCAUGUGUAGCGGUGAAAUGCGCAGAGAUAUGGAGGAACACCAGUGGCGAAGGCGACUUUCUGGUCUGUAACUGACGCUGAUGUGCGAAAGCGUGGGGAUCAAACAGG
rnacentral:rRNA from 1 species